rnacentral:rRNA from 1 species
CACGGGGGGAGCAAGCGUUGUUCGGAAUCACUGGGCGUAAAGGGCGUGUAGGCGGUCAAGUAAGUGGAAUGUGAAAGCCCCCGGCUUACCCGGGGAUCUGCAUCCCAAACUGCUUGGCUUGAGUACGGGAGAGGAUAGGGGAAUUCCUGGUGUAGCGGUGAAAUGCGUAGAUAUCAGGAGGAACACCAAUGGCGAAGGCAGCACUCUGGGACGUGACUGACGCUGAGACGCGAAAGCGUGGGGAGCAAACAGG